rnacentral:lncRNA from 1 species
CUCCUUGUGAGUAUACACCAGGCAAUACCAGUGCCCUCUUCGACAGUUGGGACCGCUGGGCUUCCUAUCCAGGCAUUAAUACAUUAUUCCUGGGUGUACCUGCAGACCCUGCAGUCUCACCUAGUGGUGGUUACAUCCCACCGCAAGUGCUAAUUGAUGAGGUUCUUCCCUUUGUGCAGAACUACUCCAAUUAUGGAGGGGUCAUGGUUUGGGACCAGAGAAAUUUCUAAUUUUGUGAUGAAUUUUAAAAAAAUUCUACAAAAGGGGUGAUUUUGAUUGGGUAUUCCGUAGGGGGGUCUUCGCAUUUUGCGAAUGCGAGCUCUGCUGAGCUCGCAUUCGCAAAAUGCGAGCUCUGCUUAUUGAGCUCGCAUUCCACGAAUGCGAGCUCAAUAGAGCUCACCCUGAUAUUUUUUUUUUUUUUUUUUUACUCUCAUUAAAUUUUUUCCAGAAAAUAGUAAGAGCUAAAUAAAAUUUUUCAAAUAGCUCGCAUUUGAUAAAUUUGACCUCCAAAAAUUGUAUUUAAUUUUUUUGUUAGAUUUCGCAUUUAUAAGUAUGACUUUCAGAAAAUUAAAUUCAAACUUGCUAGAAAAAAAAUUUAAAAUGAAAUUUACGAGCUGCCACCAAAAUGUAUCUUUUUCAGAAAAUGUUGUUUGUUUUGUAGAAUUUGCCUUUACUAAAAUGCUGUCGGUAGUAAAAUCUUAUUUUAAAAGCUCUACUAAAAUCUUAUAUUUCGGAGAAAUGUUAAAAAAAUGUUAUUUAAAAUCUGUAAUUAGCAGAGGAAUAAAUUUUUUUAUUUUAAAACUUGCACGUGCCUAAAGUCAUCAAAUAUGUGUUCUAAAAAAAAUCAUAUUUCUUUUAUAUUAAAAAAAAUUGGUAAUUGUACGGUUGAAAAUACGUUAUUUUAUUAUAAUACAUUUAAAUGGUGGAAAAAGUACACAUGCAUAGUUCUUUCUAUUUCAUAUAUCAAUGAAAAAAUAGAAUGAAAUUGUUAACAUGUAAGGUAUCGACUAUAUUUUAUGAAUAAAAUACUAACUUUUUUUCCUUUUUUAUCAAAUAAUUUUUUUUAUCAAAUUCUAAUUUUCCUUUGUUAUUAAUGAAUCGUAUUUAUUUGUUGACACCGACGAAUUUUAGUUAUAAGAAUCUAAUAGUUAAUAGUCAUUAAUAUCUGUUACAAUUUCAACUGUAAUUUUAGAAAUUUCAUAACGCAAUGUUAUUUAAAAAAAUUAUAUAAGUUAUUUUUAUGAAGUGCAUGUUAUUUGUUUUCUUUGUUUUGCUGUUCGACAAUUCCGAAAUCUUUGUUUUGAUGUUCGGCAGCUAUGUUUCGAUAUUGCGUUCUGCUUCUCCCACUCACUUUUGUCUUCUUUUUUUUCGAAAUGGGUCUUGGCGGUAUGUAGUGCGAGAAUGCGAGCUCAAUGUGAGCUCGCAUUUUCAGAAUGCGAGCUCAAUGAGCUCGCAUUUCCAGAAUGCGAAGACCCUCUUUUGUGGAUUUAUACCUUUACUAGUCUGAAAAAUUUCCAACUUUGUGAUGAAUUUAAAAAAAAUUCUACAAAAGGGGUGAUUUUGGGAUUAAUUUCCGUCCUUAUUGAGCUCGCAUUCCGCAUAUAAGAGCUCUUGUCUAUUUUUUUUUUCAUUUUUUAAGAGCUAGGGAAUUAUUUCCAGAAAGCAAAUGCGAGGUCUUAUCUUUUUUAUUUUGUAUUUUUUGAGAGGUAGGGAAUUAUUCGCAGAAAGCUGCUAAUUUUUGUUUUAAAAAAUGUUGCAAAUAUUUAAAAUUUUGCAAAUAGCUCGCAUUUGUUAAAUUUGACCUGGAAAAAUUGUAUUUAACUUUUUUGUUAGAUUUCGCAUUUAUAAGUAUGACUUUUACAAAAUUAAUUUAAAAAAUGUUAGGAAAAAAAUAUGUAAUGAUAUCUACGAGUUCCAUAAAAAAUAUAAAAGUAAAUGUAAAUAUUGUUUGUUUUGUAGAAGUUGCCUUUAUUAAAAUGGUGUCGGUAGUAAAAUGUUAUUUUAAAAUCUGUACGAAAAUCUUAUUUUUCGGAGAAAGGUUAGAGAAAUUUUGUUUAAAAAUGUGUAAUGUUUAGAGGAAUAAUAAAUUUGGAAUUUUAGAACUUGCACGUGGCUAAAGUCAUCAAAUAUGAGCUAAAACAAAAUCAGAUUAACAAUAAUCUUUUUAAUAUAAUUUACUAUACAUGCAUAAUUCUUUUAUAAUAACAAAAAUUGGUAAUUGUACGUUGAAAAUACGUUAUUUAAUUAUAAUACAUUUAAAUGGUGGAAAAAGUACACAUGAUAGUUCUUUGUAUGUCAUAGAUCAAUGUUCUUUCUAUUUUAUAGAUCAAUGUAAAAAUAGAAUGAAAUUGUUAACAUGUAAGGUGUUAAGUAUUUGUUGUGAAUAAAAUAUUAAGUGUUUUUCCUUUUGUGUCAAAUAAAUGUUUUGACAUCGAUAAAAAUUAGUUAUAAGAAUAUAAUAGUUAAUAGUCAUUAAUAUAUGUUACAAUGUCAACCGUAAUUUUAGAAAUUGUACAACGCAAUGUUAUUUUAAAAAAUUAUAUAAGUUAUUUUCAUGAAGUGCAUGUUAUUUGUUUGUUAGUUGGAAAGGAAAAGGAAAAAAAUGAAAGCAAAGAAAGGUUAAGGAAGACGGGCGUGACACUUGCUGUAGAGAGUCCACUGAUCCGAUCGUUGGAUGGGAAGCUUGAAUAUAAAUCCGAGGUCGGAUCCAACGAUCCGAGGGCGGAUAGGUAGGAUCCGAGGACUUCGCAUGAUGGAUCCGAGGCCGGAUCUUCUGACCUCGGAUACACUCCUACAGAAGUACAGACGAGGGAUCGGAUCUGUCUUAGCUCUUAUCGAUCCGAGCUCGGAUCUAUUCCAUUAAAUUUCCUAAUUUUUGUCUUCUUUCGUUUUUCGUUCAUUUUUUCUCCUAAUUUCUUGUGCACUUUAUCGGCGGGACUAUCUUCCCAUUGAUUUCAGCUCGUGCAUGAACUUCGUAUGGAAUGUCCCCCACAAUCUCAAGUAUCCAAUAAUGCAUCUAUCCACCCAUUUAAUCAACUAAAAAAAAUGGGCAAAAUUGAACAUUUUGGCCAGUAACUUGAAAUUGUGGACAACAUUGUUUACAAAUUUUGAAAGAAUUUCCCCAAACAAAUUGACAAAACUCCCUGUCAACAACUUCAAUUUCAAGAAAAUUAACCUUAUGACAAUAUUUCCAAAAACAAAACUAACAUUUUCAAGCUAUAGACAACUAAAAUGUAAAACAGUUUCAAGCCAUAGACAACACUUUGUAACCAUUUUCAAGCAUAAUUUUUCUUAUUUAACCAAAUAUACUUUGGAAAAUGUAAAAAUCCUAAUAGCAUAAUAAUUCAUUCCAAGCCAAAUAAGAAUUAAACUUUUCUAAAAUACACAUAGCAUUUUAUCCAAAGGAAGAAUUACACACUUAAAAUUGGAACAUUUUGGGCAUUUAAUUGGAAGAUUUGGAAUGAAAUAUUGGAAAACGUUUUCGAAAAAUUUGGACAGAGUUUCCCCAUAAAAAUGGAUGAAACUCCCUGCCAACAUCCUCAAAUUCAGAAAAAUAACUCCUCUGUACAGUAUCUUCAAAUAUAAUUCCAACAUUUUGAAGCCAUAAACAACUAAAAUCAUGCAUUUCAAGACACAUUGUCGUCAUUGUAGACGAAGGUAAAACAACCUAAACUUCCAAUUAAAAAGGUGGUGAUGCAAUUUGAAGCCCUUAAUCAUCACAAUCAUCCAAUUUGUGUCCAAAAUGAGACAACAAGGGUACCAAACAUGCUUAAGUAGCACAAGAUGAUUCAACUAAAAGAAAAAUAAAAUGUACAAAGUUUGUCUUAACAAAAGAAAAGAAAAAUAAAGAAAUAAAAGAUCCAAUCCGCUAAAGAGCAUCAUGGCUGCUGGGAACGAGGGUCUACUCCCUCCUCGGCUCCAUGAGGACCUUGUGAGGUACCAAUAUGGCCCUCCUCCUGAUGAGUUGUAGGAGUAGGGGACCGGCGGAUAUGGAAAUGAUCCUCGAUCGCACGAAGACGGCGAUCGUGUCGGUCGAGCCGCUCGGUCAUCAUCCGCUCCGUUUGGUCAAUGCGCUCGACAACUCGCGUCUCCAUACAACAAAUGGCAUUUAGGAGCUCUUGCCACUUGGAGCGCGGUUGAGGAGGUGGUCGCGGAAUCGGAGGAGGAAGAGUCUGUUGUACCAGGCUUUUUUGUAAGACACAUCAACCUUCAAGUUUUCUUUAACGGAACUUAGUAUGUUCUUGACCUUUAAUCCAGGGUCAUCUUCAAUGCUACGGAGGAUGUACCUUGAAAUAACGGAAGCAGUCAGGCUUGUAUUGUUAUUUCUAAUCAUGUCGCCCAAGCAGUUAUGGUCAUUCACCCACUUUGUAAUUUGCCACAUUCCAUGAGUCUUUUUCUUUACGGCUCUAACACACCAUUCGCAUGGUGGAUACGAUGGCGCGGUUGAAGUGGAAGGAUGUCGAUCAAUUGAUGACUUGCACUUAGCAAACCACGUGUUACUCUUACUCUCAAUAACUCUGAACUCCCUAUUGUGAUUGAUGGACCACAUCCUAACUGCUCGGCUGAGCUGCUGCUUACUCUCAAAUCUCAUAUGAAGACGUAUAUUAUUAUUCUCCUCACUGAAUGUUACAAUACGCUCCAAUCCAUCCUCCUCUUCCAUAUCAUCAUGAUCUAUGUUCCCAAGAUCGGAGAAAAAUGUCAUUCCUCUUGGCACAUAUGCAGAGCUGCCAGCUGUGCUAUUGCGUCUGUCCAAGUGGUCCAUAUCGAGGUUUACUCUUAAACCCCCACCUUCAUGCUCAUCAUCCGAAUCACUACCAGACACAUCUUGCGACUCCGACUCUUCAACCUCUUCCGCAUCAACUUCCGGGUCAUCUUCCGGGUCAUCUUCUUCCACAUCAUCUUCAAGAGAGCCAAGGAGCCCAUCGUGUAUACUAGCAUAUACAUCAUUUUCAGCUGAACUGCGACAACCUUGCCCAGGGUUAGACUCGAUCCCAAUUGGAGAAAUAUGGCAUGAUGGACCUGGAUCUCCAAAACUUGGAAUCGAAUCCAGGCCAUGAAAAUAUUCCUGGGCACCCAUGGACCCUGAUGUGAGCCUUGGUUCUAAUGAAUCCAUAGAUCGAUCACCAUGCAUAUAAUGACAUGCUGAUGAAGUCUCUGGAACGACUACACUAGAACCGAAGUGCAACUUUGUUGGAUCCAUGAAUGCAUGAACCAGCGACAUCAUUGGACCAACAGUACCUAUUGCUCCAGUGAAUACGCUAUUAACUACAGGCAUUUGGACGAUUUCUUCCUUCUCGAUAUAAAUCUCCGCCAUGUAUGAAACUCUUUCGAUCCAAAGAUCGUACAUUACAUCAAGAGUUUCAUCAUCCACCACUGCGGAAACAGUAUAUUUGGAACUCUCCAACGGUUGACGAAGAAACAAUUUCAGCUUGAACAUCCCUUUAUCGACCCCAAUAUAGUGGUAAAUCCUGUCAACCAACUCCCCGUAUCCAAUUCUAUGCCUCAAAGUUAAUGUCCGGUUGGAAGUACGAGGCAUAUAACAAACAAAGUCACCUUCGUAAUGUAUUUGUCCUCCCCAGUAUAGGUUUACCCGCAGAGGUCUUUCUACAGACAUGUUUGUAAAAUGAAUCCCUAUUUUGGGGACAAUAUAUUAGAAUUAGAAGUCCAAGCGUCCAAACAAAUGAAAGAGAGGAUGGACUAUAGGUCGAAAUUGGAACUAUUAUAUAGACUAAUUUCGAUCCAUAUGUUUAUGAAAAAAUUUAAAACAGGUAUGAAAUAUGCUAUAAAUAACGAUAGCAAUAGCCUAAAACUCCGAACGCAAUCUUUAGAAAAUUUGGACAGAGUCUCCCCUAAAAUUACACUAAAACUCCCUGCCAACCAAUCCGAAAAGGGAAGCCGAUUAAGUAGUAAUCACAUUUGCCACACUACAUAUUGUCAAGAGACCCUAUAAUUUUCAAAGUACAGGCGUAAGAAAUGUAUUUAGAAGUUAUAUAUAUUUGGGCUCCACAUUCACACCUCAUAAAAAGAUCCACAUUCACAAUGAUGUGAUAUUCUAGCUAUGAAUCUUACAAAAUUAAUGUUAUUUUUUCAAAUAACCUAAUAGUGAGUUACCCUCACAAAGAAAGAUCUACAAAAAUUUCGACAUAAUCUCCCCUAUAAAUAGCCUCAAACUCCCUGUCAAACAAUCCAAAUAUCCAUGAAAUUCAAAAGCUCCAAUCUAUAAACUACAUAAUGUCAAUAAAGUCCCAAAGCUCCAAUUGCAAAACAUACAAUAUCCAAUGUACAUAGUGUUUCGACCAAAAGUAAUAGGGUCGAUAAAUAGAUUUUAAAAAAAAAUUCUGAUGAAUUUUAAAAGAAUUCUACAAAUGGGGCAUUUUGAGCAUGGGAUUACAUCCAAAGGGUCUUCGCCUUCAGCAAAUGCGAACUCACAGAGCUCGAAUUUUCGCACGCUGAAAUCCACAAAAAAUUUUAACAAAAAAUAAAACAAUAGCUCGCAUUUAUUAUUAUGAAAUGGACGGAUCCGAGCUCGGAUAAUUUAUUGAAGCCCUCGGAUCCAACAGGGUUCGGAUCCUUCUCAACGGAUGAUCAGACGAGACCUCGGAUCUGAGUAAACAACUAUAAAUCCGACCUCGGAUCCUUAUGAUCCGAGGUCGGAUCUUUCUGACUUUAGUCGUAUCCGAGCUCGGAUCUUGCUUUUUCUGCAAUAAUUGCAGAAAUCUGCAAAUAAACUGCAACUAAUUGGAAAUGGAAAAAUUGCCAGUCAUCGAAAAAGAUAACGUAUUUCCUCAAAUCCACCACAAAAAUUGCAAAAAUAAGCACAACCCACAUCACAUUUACACCCAAAUUGCACAACAAAUCUGAACCUGCCCUUGGAUGAUAGUAUUCAACUAUUAAUUAAACUUAAAAAGCUAUACGUGAGGCAUUGCAAGUGCAAAAGCCUAACCUUUAUGCUGUUUGACAGUUGCAAUGGGACGGCAAUGCGGUCAAAUUUUGGGAAGCGGCAAACGCGAAACCAGUCUUUCGAUGCUCCGGUCUGCUCCGGUCUUUGGAUGCUUCGAUGUGCAGAAACCAGGUCUGUCUGUUUUCUUUGUUUUGCUAAGCAAAAUUCGCUUCCUAAUUCUUUGUUUUGCUGUUCCACAGCUAUUCAACCAGCUAUUCUUUGUUGGGUCUUUUUUUUUUUCGAAAUGGGGUCUUGGCGGUUGUAGGGGAGCUUGUGAAUGCGAGGUCACAGAGCUCGCAUUCUGAGAAUGCGAAUCGACCUCGCAUUCGCAAAAUGCGAGCUCGGUGAGCUCGCAUUCUGAGAAUGCGAAGACCCCCCUUUGUAGAAACAAAUCCAAAAACCGCCCUCGUUGUAGAAAUCUUUUUUUUUUCAUCACAAAAUAAGAAUUCACCCUUUGGGACCAUGCCCAUGACUUAAAUUACAGUGAGACAAUCAGGCCUUAUGUUAACAAGUCCCAGAUACAGCCCGUAAAUGCUGGCAUUGCCACCUACUGGGGCCAAAACACUACGGAAGGAAGCCUGGUAGACACAUGUCGUAAAGGUAUCUACGACUACGUGAAUAUUGCCUUUCUGAUAAAUUAUGGCGGUGGCCAAACACCGCAAUUGAACAUAGCUGGGCAUUCCUUAAACAGUUCGCGAGAUAGAAACUUGCCAAGGCCUAGGCAUCAAAGUGUUUCUUUCUCUCGGUGGAGCAGCUAACCUUUCUUCUUCCGAUGAUGCUCAGCAAGUCGCCUCCUAUAUCUGGAACGAAUUCUUAGGUGGUAAUGAAUCAGACUCUCGUCCAUUAGGCAAUGCUGUUUUAGAUGGUGUAGACUUUCACAUCCAAGCUGGAAAGGCGGAUUACUUGGCUGACCUUGUUCAGGCGCUCUCAGAAUAUAACACACCAGAGAGGAAGCUGGUGUAUUUAUCGGCAGCACCAGAAUGUUUCAUUCCUGACUAUUUUCUGGACGCUGCUAUCAAAACUGGCCAUUUUGAUUACGUGUGGGUGGAAUUUUUUGACAAUCCUCCUUGUGAGUAUACACCAGGCAAUACCAGUGCCCUCUUCAACAGUUGGGACGCGCUGGCUUCCUAUACAGGCAUUAACACAUUAUUCUUGGGAGUACCUGCAGACCCUGCAGUCUCACCUAGUGGUGGUUACAUCCCACCGCAAGUGCUAAUUGAUGAGGUUCUUCCCUUUGUGCAGAACUAUUCCAGUUAUGGAGGGGUCAUGGUUUGGGACCAUGCCCAUGACUUAAAUUACAG